GCCUAUGGCUAUACCACCCUAAAUGCCCCUGCCUCAGAGGCUAAGCAGGGUGGUGUCUGGUUAGUGCUUGGGUGAGAGGUUAGAUAGAGUGCAUACUCUACUGAAAGCC
rnacentral:rRNA from 1 species